rnacentral:rRNA from 1 species
AUUGAACGCUGGCGGCAGGCCUAACACAUGCAAGUCGAGCGAGCGGCGGACGGGUGAGUAAUGGAUGGGGACUGCCCGAUAGAGGGGGAUAACUACUGGAAACGGUGGCAAAGACCGCAUACUGACGGAUAACCCAGGUGGGAUUAGCUAGUUGGAAAGGUAAUGGCUUACCUAGGCGACGAUCCCUAGCUGGUCUGAGAGUAUGAUCAGCCACAAUGGGACUGAGACACGGCCCAGACUCCUACGGAGGCAGCAGUGGGGAAUAUUGCACAAUGGGCGCAAGCCUGAUGCAGCCAUGCCGCGUGUAUGAAGAAGGCCUUAGGGUUGUAAAGUACUUUAAGUCGGGAGGCGUUACCGACAGAAGAAGCACCGGCUAACUCCGUGCCAGCAGCCGCGGUAUUUC